CGCCCGCCCACCCACUCACUCGCCCCGGCGCGGGAGCCCCCUUCCUCCCCGCCAGGAGCUCUUAAAGCGGACACUUCCUCCCUGGUCAGGGCCCCACUCCCGAGCUUGGGAAACAAGUCCCGUUGCAGCCCACAGGACGAGGCGCUCAGCGCAGCUCCAGACACCGGGGCUUUAGCUUUUGAGGGCCCCAGCAAAAAUGGCUUGCCAGUUUCAAGCAGCGCACGAAUGCGAAGACGAAAACGGGGCUAAGAUACGAGUGGGUCGCGCUGGCCCCGUGAGUACCCGACAGCGAGUUUUAGUCAGAAACACAUCAAAGAAGAAAAACAUUCCUGGAUAUUACCUGAAAACCUGCUGUUGACUUCUGCUUCAAGAAGGUGCCCCCAUGGGGUGUGCAUCCUGGCUCAACAGCUUGAAAAGGCUCCAACUGUCAUCCACAAUUCAACCGGACAGAUUUGCACUUUCUUUCUCCAGUUCCCCUGGUCUUUAACAGGAGUGCCCCCUACUCAGCAGCGGGCAGACUCCACCACGGU